UGGUGGAGUGAUUUGUCUGGUUAAUUCCAUUAACGAACGAGACCUCAACCUGCUAAAUAGUUCCAUGUGGCUGCUGCUGCAGGGUUGCUUCUUAGAGGAACUUGUGGUGCCUAACUCAAGGAAGUUUGAGGCAAUAACA
rnacentral:rRNA from 1 species